rnacentral:lncRNA from 1 species
AAAUCCACCUCAGAAUGGGAGGUCACUUUUUUACAGUAGAAAAUGCCAUUUUAAGGGAGAUAAUAAAAAGUCUGAAAUGAAUUUAUAUUAAAUUUGUCAUUAAAUCAAACCAAUCAAGAACCAGUCAUAAUUUGUUCAAACAUAAAAUGAAGGCAGAAUUGAGAAUGAAAAUGGGUAAUGUGUCAAUGAGACAAAACCAGACCAAUAAGCAUUACACAGCCCGAGGCCACUAAUUAGUCUGUAACUCCGCAAGAAAAUUAUACACCGGAGGCGGGCUUCAGCUGACCCUUAAACAUAUAUUUUUCUAGUUCAGUGAAUAGAGAUGUCACACUUGACUGAAAAAGAGCGAGUAAGGUGGGUGUUACCAUGAACUCCCAUAACUAUGGUAAUUUAAGAGGGGCUUCGUGUAAUUCUUAGUUCGUAAAACCUUUCAUUCAUCCCCAUCAUAUUUCACACCUAUCGAGGAUUUGAUUCACAUUUAUUGAUUGAAGCUACUGGAAUAUUUAAAUAUCCAAUAUACCCUCAUUUUCCAGUGGCAGUCCAAAGUAGUAUAGUACUUGAGCGAGUCCAGGGCACCCCCCCCCCCCAAAAAAAAAUUUUUUUGACCCCUAAAAAAUUACCCUCAUUUCAAGUAAAAAAAGCCCUAAAUUUUCAUAAAAAAAGCAAAAAAACACCCAAAAAACACCAAAUUUUCUUACUCCCAAAAAAUUUUUUUUUUUACUUUUUUAUAAAAAAAACGUUAUUAACACCAAAACAAAAAAAAAAAUUCAACAAAAAAACCGGGAGAACAGGCAGAGAAAGAAUUCUGUGGGAUUUAAGAGAAAAAAAAUCAAUUUUUACUUUAAAAAAUGAAACAACCUACAGCUCCUGAUUUAUAUCCAGAAUUACCUAUAGAAGAUGGACAAAAUUAUAGACUACAAAAAAUAACAGAAAUAGAAAAAAACAUUAAUAAAUGAGAGAGAUAAACGUAAAUCACUAUACAAAAAAUAUAAACGCGGAGUUAAUGUUACUGAUGGUGUUGAUACAAGUUUAAUUUCGACAUCUGUUGUUUUAGCUGGUAUAGGAAUAGCUUUUCCUAUCUUACUUCCCAUACAAAUUGCAGCUGUUGUAUGUGGAAGUUUAGGAGGUCUAGUUAAAUUAAUUAGAAGAAAGUUGACAACAAAAUCAAAAAAAACAUUAUGAAAUUAAAACAAUGGCAGAAUGCAAGUUAAACAGCAUAAAAGAUUUAAUAUCAAAAUCUUUAACUGACGGACAGAUAAGUGCAGAA